AGAAGUUUAUAUGAUAAUUGUAGGGUCCUUACAGUUCAUGGUUCUUCAGACACAGUUAUAUCUGUUGAAGAUGCAUUUCAGUUUGCUCAGAUUCUAACAAACCAUACAUUACAUAUCAUAGAAGGAGCUGAUCAUUCCUACACUAAUCACCAAAACGAGCUAGCUUCGGUUGUUGUCAACUUCAUAAAAUAAAAGAAACCUUGCACUGGAAUAGGAAUACUUAGGUCUUGCAGUUCCGAGUCAUUUGAAGUUGCUACCUGCGACAAAUUCUCACGGAUACGGCGUUGUUCUACAACAUUUUGAACUCUUCUAUUUUUUACUCAUAAAAUUAGUGAGUUUUGCUUUGUACGAACUUGCUGUGAUAAUCCAUUGGUAAACAAAGCAUGUGCUCCUAUUGUACACUUGUUUCUAAUACAGUGGCUAGUUUACAAAAUAGAUACAAUAAACAUACAUCCUAGUUUUCUUAA